UGGAUUGCAGAUAAACAAGAGGUUUUAGAAUC
rnacentral:piRNA from 1 species